GUAACCGAUAGACUGGGCUGGGGCAAUGCUGAUGAAAGGCAAAUUCCUGAGAGAAAAAUCACCCAGAUUUUUCAGUGCCUUCUCUAGCUUUCUGGAAGUUGUUAUGAGUGGACCUGACUACCUAGAGAGAGUAAUACAGAAGCUCCCUGCCGAUCACAGCUACCUCAUUACCAUGUUCCUCCAAGAUGGCCGCCCCUGAGGAGAAUCAUCAACUGGGCUUUACGGAAGAGAGAAAUCCAAACGACCAUCAGCAACAAAUGAAAGACUGAAGUUGAAAGUUUCAAGAUUGCCAAGAAUGACGAGUUGGACUUGGUCUAGUUACUUCCACAGCAGCAGGAGGAACAUGUGUGUGACUCAGGAUAACUGGGGAAGCCUUGGCUAGGCUUUCCUCAUGUCAACCUACCACUCAAAGGGAGAAAACCUCCUGAUCAGAGGAAAUCCAUAAUUUUUGAAUGCUGGCUGAGGUCUGUGACCUCUGACUG
rnacentral:lncRNA from 1 species